AGGAGCUGCAAUCAGAUUGGGGAACACACCCACAUUUUCUGGGACUGCCCAGUACUGACUCCAUUCUGGCAGGGGGUUCUGACAGAAAUUAAAAAAAUAUUUAAGGUCACGGUACCACUGAACCCACUGCAUUAUAUUCUCACCCUUCAACAAUGGCAAGAAAGACUGAAGAAUGUGUAUAAUGGAAAAGAUAACAGCAAUACUCCAUGUAAAAAUGGAAAUUUUUCUGAGUGUAUGGACCCCAGCUAUUUCCCACUUCGGAUGGCCACAUGGAUAAAGAUGUUAUGGGUUAUAAAAAGCUGUCUUUGUAUGUCUCUCUCUUUUAAUGGAAGACUCUGGAUUUGUACAUCUCCCUUUCAUGUGAGCCGAUGAGGACCUUUCUAAGAAAUAUCAACUGCCGAAAUGGACUUAAAUGUUUGCUGAACGCCCCCCCCCACUGUUUUUCUUCUUCUUCUUCUUUCUCUCCAUCUCUUUGUUUUGUUGUGUUUUUUAUGUAAGUGCAUGGAUAAAUAUCCAUAUGAAUAUGUUGGAUUUAUAAUAUUCUUCAAUAAAGAAUGUGCAAAAAAAAAUACAAGGAUUUCCGGUGACGAUGCGGAGAGGAGAGCAGGAGUUAAAGCUGAUAUCGGCCAAUUUUACGCUUCUACUUUCCGUCAGAAGGCUAACCCGUGUGAGUAGGUACAAAUUAAGUAGCACAGAUGAAUAGAGGGAAAAAUUCAAGGCUAAACAGCAAACCGGGCCCUAAAAUUGAGCAAAUGAUCCUGUCGAACCCACGAGCUAACGAGGCUAAUGCUAACACCAGCAUGGUGUUAGCAUUAGCCGCUGAUGCAGGGACAGACUCAUUGAUUUUAAACGAGAUUCGCGUCAUGAACCGAGAUCUUCAAGACAAAAUACAGCAGAUCGGGGCAGACGUGAUUACAAUUAAAGACUGUCUGGACUCUCUGAAAUCCGAUGUGACCGGCCUCAGCAGCAGGAUCGGGGAAGCCGAAAACAGAGUGUCGCAACUCGAAGAUGAGAACGCGGUGCUCACUGCGAGCACGACUGAGCUGAAGUCCAAAGAUGCACAGCUGGAAGA